rnacentral:misc_RNA from 1 species
UUAUAGAGGUGUUGCAAAUCCUGCCAAAAGAACAAAUAAAAGGUCAAGAAACUUAAGCUUUGAAUGCCCCAUUCUAAACUGGGACAUUAUAGAGGAGGCUUCUUUGAGAUAUUGAUGCUAUCCUAAGACCUAUCAAGGAGUUGAGAAGGCAGGUACUUUAACCUGGAACAGCAAUCUAAACCAAUUACAUGUGGUCAAAUCCCAUGAGUUGGCAAGUACUUUAUGCAACUUAAGUAGAUAUUAUGAAGCUGGUUGCAAAUAGAUUCAAGUUGCAUUUGCCCUCUGAAGCGCUAAAGUUCCAGAAGGGAGAAAAAUAGACAUGUAUGAAAAGUUCCUAUGCAGCAAAGGUCAUUACAGAAAUUGAAUGUGAUAAAUAUGGCGUUCCUGUUUUAUGUUGACAAUAAAAUUGUACAUAAAAUAAGUACAAAGACUGAAAAGGCUACAU